UACGGGGGGGGCAAGCGUUGUUCGGAAUUACUGGGCGUAAAGCGCGUGUAGGCAGCCUCGCAAGUCGGAUGUGAAAGCCCUGGGCUCAACCCAGGAAGUGCACUCGAAACUGCGAGGCUGGAGUCCUGGAGAGGAAGGCGGAAUUCCUGGUGUAGCGGUGAAAUGCGUAGAUAUCAGGAGGAAUACCGGUGGCGAAAGCGACUCUCUGGACGGUAACUGACGCUGAGGCACGAAAGCGUGGGGAGCAAACAGG
rnacentral:rRNA from 1 species